GCUUGGACAGUCUCUUGACUGCGAGGUGACACUGACAUUGGUCUCUCAAAAUGACGAAGCUCCUGUUACAAGCCAGGAUGACCAAACAACACAAAGUGAAGAUGACGAUUUGGACAGCACCCAAAUGGCACCUGUGGGAAGUGGCUCAGACACCGAGAGACAGAAAGAUGCUCCAAGCAAGAUAACCAUGAACAAUAUACUUGAAAAACAAUAUCAAAUAUUAACACUGGAAGAGACUAAACUAAAAUUAGAAAUACAAAAACUAGAAUUAGAGAAAACUAAGCUAAAGUUGGAGCUACAAAAACUUGGACAUGAACUAUAGAUCUCAUCGAACAUUGUCCAAUAACCAAUCAAACAAUUGUCUAUUUAAUAAGUACUGGUAUUUAAUUUUGAAUUUACACAUGUAAUGUUUACAUACAGAAUCUUUAGAGAUAUUUAAGAGAUUUGAAGAAUUUUAGUGUAAGUUAAUGUGUAGUGAUUUGAAGAUUAUAUCAUAUUUCAGCUGAUUGUACUGAUACUAUGCAUCAAAUAUUUUGUAAGUAUUGUCUCAAUUAAUAAAUUAUAAUAUGUCCACUUAA